rnacentral:lncRNA from 1 species
CUUCCCUCGAUGAAGCAGCAAAACGAGAGCCACAGGCGUGAGCGUCACGUGCAAGCACACGCUUCGGCGCAUUUACGAGGAGGGAGCCUCCUUCUCAAUGUACCUGAGCACGCAGAGAUGGGGGCAAUGAGGGGGGAAAAGAGAUUACGGGGAAAGGAAAUAGUUUUGUACACAGUAAUAGUCGCAUACAUACAACUUCAAAAAUCAAAAUGUGUGGCGUCCCGACACCAUGCUCCCAGCUACACCAGCACUCACACGAACAGCGUAGCCAUUCCGAUGGCUGGCAGAACCAGGCCAGUCAGGGGCACGAACAGCGAGGGAGCCCAGGCCGGGGGCACGAAGGGGUAGCCCUCAGCAGCGCUAGCAACGGUGGCGAUGACCUGCGAGGCCUCAGCCUGCAAGCAUACAAGUGGACGACGAAAGAUCGGUAGCCUGGGAGAGCCUCCGCUGCACUUCAGCAUAUUCCCAGACAAAGAUGCAAAAUCUGAUUGUGCAAACAGUACGCAGCCAUAUCUCUGAAGCUUGUAAACAGGACUGGACGGAAGCGCCUUCCCCAUCAAACAUAAACACAUAAACCAAAAUUAAGCGCUGAGUAGGAAAUGUCAGUUGCCCUCAUUACUGCCAAGUAAUUGGUAGAGCUGAUUCAUGGCUGCGGCUGAUAGAGAGGAGAUUCACACACAUAGUCAGAUGCUGGACUCUAACGCACCGAGUUGGUCGACGCCAGCAUCGCCAGAGAGGCAACACCGGCAAGGGCCAGCUUGGCGUGAGCGGGCUUCAGGGCAGCCACCGGCUUGACGGAGGCCCGUGCAACCUGAGGGCGCACAGCCGGCUUGGCAAGAGUAGCGCGCAGGGCCAUUUUUGAAGCGGUGGAAAGGUUGUGAGGUCUGAAGACGUAAAGUAAUACUUCAAGCCUGUCACAACAAUGUUGCGUGAGACAAUAAGUUCUCAUCUUGCAAGAUCUCCGACGCAAAAGGGCCCAACGCUGUGCGGACCUUCCAUUGUCAAAAAGCUUUACUUGGCCUGAACCGAGUACAAAUUUUAUAAUUAUUCAUGUUGCGUUUUACAUUAUUUAUUUAGAGCUCAG